AUUGAACGCUGGCGGCAUGCCUUACGCAUGCAAGUCGAACGGUAACAGGUCUUCGGAUGCUGACGAGUGGCGAACGGGUGAGUAAUACAUCGGAACGUACCUAGUAGUGGGGGAUAACUACUCGAAAGAGUGGCUAAUACCGCAUGAGAUCUACGGAUGAAAGCAGGGGAUCGCAAGACCUUGUGCUACUAGAGCGGCCGAUGGCAGAUUAGGUAGUUGGUGGGAUAAAAGCUUACCAAGCCGACGAUCUGUAGCUGGUCUGAGAGGACGAUCAGCCACACUGGGACUGAGACACGGCCCAGACUCCUACGGGAGGCAGCAGUGGGGAAUUUUGGACAAUGGGCGCAAGCCUGAUCCAGCAAUGCCGCGUGCAGGAUGAAGGCCUUCGGGUUGUAAACCGCUUUUGUACGGAACGAAAAGCCCUGGGUUAAUACCCUGGGGUCAUGACGGUACCGUAAGAAUAAGCACCGGCUAACUACGUGCCAGCCGCCGCCGUAA
rnacentral:rRNA from 1 species